AGGAGAGAGAGACAGAGAGCCUGCUUGCUUUAAAGGAGCAAAGCGGGAGAGGAGAGGAGAGGAGAGGAGCCGCUUACAUGAGUGUAAGCGGCUCCUGUCCGGUUGGCUCCUUUAAAGCACGCAGGCUCUCUGUCCCUCUCUCCU
rnacentral:miRNA from 1 species